rnacentral:rRNA from 1 species
AGUGAACGCUGGCGGUAGGCCUAACACAUGCAAGUCGAACGGCAGCACAGUAAGAGCUUGCUCUUACGGGUGGCGAGUGGCGGACGGGUGAGGAAUACAUCGGAAUCUACCUUUUCGUGGGGGAUAACGUAGGGAAACUUACGCUAAUACCGCAUACGACCUACGGGUGAAAGCAGGGGAUCUUCGGACCUUGCGCGAUUGAAUGAGCCGAUGUCGGAUUAGCUAGUUGGCGGGGUAAAGGCCCACCAAGGCGACGAUCCGUAGCUGGUCUGAGAGGAUGAUCAGCCACACUGGAACUGAGACACGGUCCAGACUCCUACGGGAGGCAGCAGUGGGGAAUAUUGGACAAUGGGCGCAAGCCUGAUCCAGUCAUACCGCGUGGGUGAAGAAGGUCUUCGGGUUGUAAAGCCCUUUUGUUGGGAAAGAAAAGCAGCAGGUUAAUACCCCGCUGUUCUGACGGUACCCAAAGAAUAAGCACCGGCUAACUUCGUG